GUGCUUGCGGCGUGCUAUACAUGCAGUCGAACGAACUCUGGUAUUGAUUGGUGCUUGCAUCAUGAUUUACAUUUGAGUGAGUGGCGAACUGGUGAGUAACACGUGGGAAACCUGCCCAGAAGCGGGGGAUAACACCUGGAAACAGAUGCUAAUACCGCAUAACAACUUGGACCGCAUGGUCCGAGUUUGAAAGAUGGCUUCGGCUAUCACUUUUGGAUGGUCCCGCGGCGUAUUAGCUAGAUGGUGGGGUAACGGCUCACCAUGGCAAUGAUACGUAGCCGACCUGAGAGGGUAAUCGGCCACAUUGGGACUGAGACACGGCCCAAACUCCUACGGGAGGCAGCAGUAGGGAAUCUUCCACAAUGGACGAAAGUCUGAUGGAGCAACGCCGCGUGAGUGAAGAAGGGUUUCGGCUCGUAAAACUCUGUUGUUAAAGAAGAACAUAUCUGAGAGUAACUGUUCAGGUAUUGACGGUAUUUAACCAGAAAGCCACGGCUAACUACGUGCCAGCAGCCGCGGUAAUACGUAGGUGGCAAGCGUUGUCCGGAUUUAUUGGGCUUGGGCACUCUGGUGAGACUGCCGGUGACAAACCGGAGGAAGGUGGGGAUGACGUCAAAUCAUCAUGCCCCUUAUGACCUGGGCUACACACGUGCUACAAUGGAUGGUACAACGAGUUGCGAACUCGCGAGAGUAAGCUAAUCUCUUAAAGCCAUUCUCAGUUCGGAUUGUAGGCUGCAACUCGCCUACAUGAAGUCGGAAUCGCUAGUAAUCGCGGAUCAGCAUGCCGCGGUGAAUACGUUCCCGGGCCUUGUACACACCGCCCGUCACACCAUGAGAGUUUGUAACACCCAAAGUCGGUGGGGUAACCUUUUAGGAACCAGCCGCCUAAGGUGGGACAGAUGAUUAGGGUGAAGUCGUAAACAAGUAGCCAUCCCA
rnacentral:rRNA from 2 species